rnacentral:rRNA from 1 species
GAACUCUUAUGAGGCUCCGUAAUUGGAAUGAGUACACUUUAAACCCUUUCACGAGGAUCUAUUGGAGGGCAAGUCUGGUGCCAGCAGCCGCGGUAAUUCCAGCUCCAAUAGCGUAUACUAAAGUUGUUGCGCAUUAAAAAGCUCGUAGUUGGAUCUCAGGUAUGGGCGCGCGGUCCGCCUCGCGGCGGUCACUGCGUGGUGCCCGGUUCGUGGCACACGAUCCCAUCCUAAGCCGACCGGUUGUUGCAGCCCAUGGUGCUCUUCGCUGAGCGUUUUGGGUGGCCGGGACGUUUACUUUGAAGAAAUUAGAGUGUUCAAAGCAGGCCGAUCGCCUGAAUAAUGGUGCAUGGAAUAAUGGAAUAGGACCUCGGUUCUAUUUUGCUGGUUUUUCGGAACGCGAGGUAAUGAUUAAUAGAAUCAGACGGGGGCAUCCGUAUUGCGGUGUUAGAGGUGAAAUUCUUGGAUCAUCGCAAGACGAACAACUGCGAAAGCAUUUGCCAAGCAUGUUUUCAUUAGUCAAGAACGAAAAGUCAGAGGUUCGAAGACGAUCAGAUACCGUCGUAGUUCUGACCAUAAACGAUGCCAACUAGCGAUUCGCUGGUGUUGCUUCAUCGACCCUGCGGGCAGCUUCCGGGAAACCAUAAGUUUUCGGGUUUCGGGGGAAGUAUGGUUGCAAAGCUGAAACUUAAAGGAAUUGACGGAAGGGCACCACCAGGAGUGGAGCCUGCGGCUUAAUUUGACUCAACACGGGAA